UGGGGAAUUUUGGACAAUGGGGGAAACCCUGAUCCAGCCAUCCCGCGUGUGCGAUGAAGGCCUUCGGGUUGUAAAGCACUUUUGGCAGGAAAGAAACGUCAUGGGUUAAUACCCCGUGAAACUGACGGUACCUGCAGAAUAAGCACCGGCUAACUACGUGCCAGCAGCCGGGUAAUACGUAGGGUGCAAGCGUUAAUCGGAAUUACUGGGCGUAAAGCGUGCGCAGGCGGUUCGGAAAGAAAGAUGUGAAAUCCCAGAGCUCAACUUUGGAACUGCAUUUUUAACUACCGGGCUAGAGUGUGUCAGAGGGAGGUGGAAUUCCGCGUGUAGCAGUGAAAUGCGUAGAUAUGCGGAGGAACACCGAUGGCGAAGGCAGCCUCCUGGGAUAACACUGACGCUCAUGCACGAAAGCGUGGGGAGCAAACAGG
rnacentral:rRNA from 1 species